CUGAAUGUCCGGGAGAAUGAAGUUCUCUGUUUGUUCACAGAGCCAGUCUAGCUGCAUGGGCUGUGGGCAAUGCCAGUGCAAGCUUCUGCCCACCAUUCCACCAAUGGGCCUUAACCCUGACACAGAGAAGCAAUCUCUAGGGGCAAGAUGGCAGUUCAUUUACAUGCUGAUUUUGUUCUUUAGCUUCU